rnacentral:tRNA from 1 species
GUUGGGGGGGUCUAAUUAGACAUUUGAUUUCGACUCAAAAGAACUUACCCGUAAGCCCCAAUA